rnacentral:rRNA from 1 species
GACGAACGCUGGCGGCGUGCCUAAUACAUGCAAGUAGAACGCAGUUGCGAACGGGUGAGUAACGCGUAGGUAACUGCCUCAUAGCGGGGGAUAACUAUUGGAAACGAUAGCUAAUACCGCAUACUGUGAGAUGGACCUGCGUUGUAUUAGCUAGUUGGUGAGGUAAAGGCUCACCAAGGCGACGAUACAUAGCCGACCUGAGAGGGUGAGCGGGCAAAAUGGGACUGGGACAAGGCCCAGACUCCCUCGGGAGGCAGCAGGAGGGAAUCUUCGCCAAUGGAGGGAAGUCUGAACGCGCCAAGCCGCGGGAUUGAAGAAGGUUCUCGGAGCGUAAAGCUCUGUUGUUAGAGAAGCGGUACCUAACCAGAAAGGGACGGCUAACUACGUGCCAGCAGCCGCGGUAAUAC